CCUACGGGAGGCAGCAGUGGGGAAUCUUGCGCAAUGCGCGAAAGCGUGACGCAGCAACGCCGCGUGAGGGAAGACGGCCUUCGGGUUGUAAACCUCUUUCAGUUGGGACGAAGCCACGGCGGUUAAUACCCGUCUGUGGUGACGGUACCUUCAGAAGAAGCCCCGGCUAACUACGUGCCAGCAGCCGCGGUAAUACGUAGGGGGCAAGCGUUGUCCGGAAUCAUUGGGCGUAAAGCGCGUGUAGGCGGCUUGGUAAGUCCGCUCUGAAAGCCCGGGGCUCAACCCCGGGAGGCGGGUGGAUACUGUCAAGCUCGAGUCCGGAAGAGGCGAGUGGAAUUCCUGGUGUAGCGGUGAAAUGCGCAGAUAUCAGGAGGAACACCAAUGGCGAAGGCAGCUCGCUGGGACGUGACUGACGCUGAGACGCGAAAGCGUGGGGAGCAAACAGGAUUAGAUACCCUGGUAGUCCACGCCGUAAACGAUGGGCACUAGGUGUGGGAGGUGUCGACUCCUCCCGUGCCGAAGCUAACGCAUUAAGUGCCCGCCUGGGGAGUCGGCCGCAAGGCUAAACUCAAAUUGAAUUGAGGCNGNGAGNGCGACGACGACGACGAGGAGGAGG
rnacentral:rRNA from 1 species